AGAUUGAACGCUGGCGGCAUGCCUAACACAUGCAAGUCGAGCGGCAGCGCGGGGGCGACCCUGGCGGCGAGCGGCGGACGGGUGAGUAAUGCAUCGGAACGUAUCCUUGAGUGGGGGAUAACGCAGCGAAAGUUGUGCUAAUACCGCAUAAGCUCUGAGGAGGAAAGCGGGGGACCGAAAGGCCUCGCGCUGAAGGAGCGGCCGAUGUCCGAUUAGCUAGUUGGUUAGGUAAAGGCCUACCAAGGCUACGACGGGUCGCUGGUCUGAGAGGACGACCAGCCACACUGGCACUGAGAUACGGGCCAGACUCCUACGGGAGGCAGC
rnacentral:rRNA from 1 species